ensembl:lncRNA
GGGGCAGAUCGCAGGCAGCCUCGCAGUCAUCGGUCCAUGGAAACCAUCCGGACACCACGACAAACGUCUUUUCCUCUAUGCGGGCCGCCGCACUCCACUUGAGGAAUUCUGUUAUGGUGGCUAAGGAAAGACACCUUCCCGAGUGGUUUCCUUCUGGACGUCGUCCACUUUAAUUCUGAUGACAUGCUCCACAUCAGCAGCUGAUCGGACAGGAACAGAGACAAUCGAACCCACAGCCAGCAAGUCAUAUUUCAGACGCUGUCAUGCCAAUAACCUUGCGUACUUGAUAUGAUGCUGAUAACAUCGGCAGAGAGUUCCAGAU